rnacentral:rRNA from 1 species
UACAGAGGUCCCGAGCGUUGUUCGGAUUCACUGGGCGUAAAGGGUGCGUAGGUGGUGAGGUAAGUCGGAUGUGAAAUCUCCGGGCUCAACCCGGAAAUGGCAUUGGAAACUACCUUGCUAGAGGAUUUGAGGGGGGAUUGGAAUACUUGGUGUAGCAGUGAAAUGCGUAGAUAUCAAGUGGAACACCAGUGGCGAAGGCGAGUCCCUGGAAAAUACCUGACACUGAGGCACGAAAGCUAGGGGAGCAAACAGG